rnacentral:rRNA from 1 species
ACGGGUGAGUAACGCGUGGGAAUCUACCGUGCCCUGCGGAAUAGCUCCGGGAAACUGGAAUUAAUACCGCAUACGCCCUACGGGGGAAAGAUUUAUCGGGGUAUGAUGAGCCCGCGUUGAAUUAGCUAGUUGGUGGGGUAAAGGCCUACCAAGGCGACGAUCCAUAGCUGGUCUGAGAGGAUGAUCAGCCACAUUGGGACUGAGACACGGCCCAAACUCCUACGGGAGGCAGCAGUGGGGAAUAUUGGACAAUGGGCGCAAGCCUGAUCCAGCCAUGCCGCGUGAGUGAUGAAGGCCUUAGGGUUGUAAAGCUCUUUCACCGGAGAAGAUAAUGACGGUAUCCGGAGAAGAAGCCCCGGCUAACUUCGUGCCAGCAGCCGCGGUAAUACGAAGGGGGCUAGCGUUGUUCGGAAUUACUGGGCGUAAAGCGCACGUAGGCGGAUAUUUAAGUCAGGGGUGAAAUCCCAGAGCUCAACUCUGGAACUGCCUUUGAUACUGGGUAUCUUGAGUAUGGAAGAGGUAAGUGGAAUUCCGAGUGUAGAGGUGAAAUUCGUAGA